AUUGAACGCUGGCGGCAUGCUUUACACAUGCAAGUCGAACGGUAACAGGCCGCAAGGUGCUGACGAGUGGCGAACGGGUGAGUAAUGCAUCGGAACGUGCCCAGUCGUGGGGGAUAACGCAGCGAAAGCUGCGCUAAUACCGCAUACGAUCUAUGGAUGAAAGCGGGGGACCGUAAGGCCUCGCGCGAUUGGAGCGGCCGAUGUCAGAUUAGGUAGUUGGUGGGGUAAAGGCUCACCAAGCCGACGAUCUGUAGCUGGUCUGAGAGGACGACCAGCCACACGGGGACUGAGACACGGCCCAGACUCCUACGGGAGGCAGCAGUGGGGAAUUUUGGACAAUGGGCGCAAGCCUGAUCCAGCAAUGCCGCGUGCAGGAAGAAGGCCUUCGGGUUGUAAACUGCUUUUGUACGGAACGAAACGGUCCGGGUUAAUACCCUGGGCUAAUGACGGUACCGUAAGAAUAAGCACCGGCUAACUACGUGCCAGCCGCCGCCGUAAUAC
rnacentral:rRNA from 1 species